rnacentral:lncRNA from 1 species
GAAGAGGAGGGAGCGGCAGCCAUGGAGGCUUCACCAGAAAAGGAAAAAAGAAGAGAAAGGCAAAAAAAGGUUUGGUUUGGGGAAUUUUCCGAUGUGAAAUCGCUGGUUAAAGGGGUGAUUUGGUUGACGUUUUCGCUGUUGGAGGUGUCGUCGGCGAUGGUGUUGCUGACGGGAAGCAUCGACGGGAAGAAAGAGGGUAAGGGGCGGUGGCAGAUCUGGUUUGGGGGUUGUUAUCAGCGGUGACAUGACCGAACAACCCGCUGGGUUGUUGUUGCGCUCUGCCAGAGAUCCAGCGAACUCGGACAACGAUAACAAAUAUUUAGUCUCCGUUGAAGACAUUAUUUUCGGUGAAAUUUGGCCGAAAAAAUAUGGACCAAGGUUGUCCUUCCUCUUUUUUUUAUCUGAUUUUCACUCACAGGUUAUCUGACUUCUCUUUUUCUUUUAAAAGUUUUCUCUAAAUUUUCAAUCUCUACCUAUGUCUAUUGCUGCUAAUGGAGUGCAUGAGUUAGUCAAUAGGAGAAAUGGAAGUCUGUUAGUGUGUGAAUAAAAUUGAGUGAAUGUGCAGAUGUGUGUAAAUGGUGUGUAUAUUUUUACUCAGUUUUAAUCAUGCACAGAUGAAAACUAAAACUAAAUGUUUG